rnacentral:tRNA from 1 species
CUGCCUGUAGUCGAGUGGCUAAGGUACAUGACUGGGACCCAUGAGGUUGGUGGUUCAAGUCCCAGUCCAGCCACA